AAGACUAUAGACCUGCGGAGUACCUGCGGAGGGAUCAUUAAUGAGAAACUGCCCCUCGCGGGUAGAUCUCCCACCCUUUGUAAACUUACCUUUGUUGCUUUGGCAGGCCCGUCUCCGGACCGCCGGCUUCGGCUGGCCAGUGCCUGCCAGAGGAUUCUAAAACUCUGUCUGUCAGUGUUGUCUGAGUCUAUAUACAAUCGUUAAAACUUUUAACAAUGGAUCUCUAGAUCGGAAGAGCAC
rnacentral:misc_RNA from 1 species